CCUACGGGAGGCAGCAGUGGGGAAUAUUGCACAAUGGGGGGAACCCUGAUGCAGCGACGCCGCGUGGGUGAAGGAGUAUUUCGGUAUGUAAAGCCCUAUCAGCAGGGAAGAACAAUGACGGUACCUGACUAAGAAGCACCGGCUAAAUACGUGCCAGCAGCCGCGGUAAUACGUAUGGUGCAAGCGUUAUCCGGAUUUACUGGGUGUAAAGGGAGCGUAGACGGCUGCGCAAGUCAGAAGUGAAAGCCCGGGGCUCAACCGCGGGACUGCUUUUGAAACUGUGUAGCUAGAGUGCAGGAGAGGUA
rnacentral:rRNA from 1 species